rnacentral:rRNA from 1 species
CAGUCGCCGCGGUAAUACGAAGGGUGCAAGCGUUACUCGGAAUUACUGGGCGUAAAGCGUGCGUAGGUGGUGGUUUAAGUCCGUUGUGAAAGCCCUGGGCUCAACCUGGGAAUUGCAUUGGAUACUGGGUCACUAGAGUGUGGUAGAGGAUAGUGGAAUUUCCGGUGUAGCAGUGAAAUGCGUAGAGAUCGGAAGGAACAUCUGUGGCGAAGGCGACUAUCUGGGCCAACACUGACACUGAGGCACGAAAGCGUGGGGAGCAAACAGGAUUAGAUACCCCCGUAGUCCCUGUCUCUUAUAC